rnacentral:misc_RNA from 1 species
AACAUCGCGCACCUGCGGGAACCUGCGGAGGGAUCAUUACCGAGUUAUACAACUCCCAAACCCACUGUGAACCUUACCUCAGUUGCCUCGGCGGGAACGCCCCGGCCGCCUGCCCCCGCGCCGGCGCCGGACCCAGGCGCCCGCCGCAGGGACCCCAAACUCUCUUGCAUUACGCCCAGCGGGCGGAAUUUCUUCUCUGAGUUGCACAAGCAAAAACAAAUGAAUCAAAACUUUCAGCAA